GUAAACCAUAGCGAGCAAACCGUGGCGGCAUCGCAAGGCGUCGUCGCGGUUAAUAAGGAUAACCCUGGUAAUUCUGAGGCUAAUACAAGAACGUACAACCCGCCCGACCCGCGAGGGAAGGGGGGGGAAUGUGUGACCAGGCACGCAAAUUCGAAACUGGGAGUGGCCACACGUUCAGACCGUCAUACCAAACAGUCGCUCGCUUUGAAAGUCCUCGUGACGAGUAAACGGCGGGCUUCUGGGCGGCUCUCGCUGUGUGCUUCUGACCUAUCAACUAGAUGGCAGCGUAACGGACAUGCUAUGGUGACAACGGGUACAGAGGAUAAGGGUUCGAUCCUGGAGAGUGGGCCUGAGAGAUU
rnacentral:rRNA from 1 species